GGUGACGCAGUUGCUAUCUCCGCACAGCCAAUCAGAAUCGCGGGAAAAUUGUCAGCCAUUAACUCCGACAAAACACAGCUGUCGGAUGCUGCGAGAGAACAUCGUUAAACGUCUUAUCCGCUAUAUAGCAGAAAAAUUGGGAAGUCCCAUGAAUAGGUUGGAUGUAAUAAUGAUACGAGGUACCCGGAAAGAAUACGCAAGUAUUUGUGGGUCAUGACAUAAUGACUAUACAGCAAGAUAGGCAAGAAAGACAGGCUACUUAAGUAUUAUGAAGGAUCAAUGAUGAAGCACAAAAGGAAACAAAAGAAUCUUCACCCGAGUGUCACAACAGAAUGUCCCAGUGAAUUUCAACAGGCUACAUCUUCGAUACUUUGGAUUAAUUUUACUAACAUCAGCUGUGCAGGUCAAGAUUUAGAACUACAUCAUUACCAGAGAGAAUCUUCAGUUUAUUGAGCAGACUA